UUCAACGCGGUUCGAAAUCCUCCCGCGAUACCAAAACUAGGAACCA
rnacentral:ncRNA from 1 species